AGAUUGAACGCUGGCGGCAGGCCUAACACAUGCAAGUCGAGCGGUAGAGAGGUGCUUGCACCUCUUGAGAGCGGCGGACGGGUGAGUAAUGCCUAGGAAUCUGCCUAGUGGUGGGGGAUAACGUUCGGAAACGGACGCUAAUACCGCAUACGUCCUACGGGAGAAAGCGGGGGACCUUCGGGCCUCGCGCCAUUAGAUGAGCCUAGGUCGGAUUAGCUAGUUGGUGAGGUAAUGGCUCACCAAGGCGGCGAUCCGUAACUGGUCUGAGAGGAUGAUCAGUCACACUGGAACUGAGACACGGUCCAGACCUCCUACGGGAGCAGCAGUGGGGAAUAUGGACAAU
rnacentral:rRNA from 1 species